UGGGAAUCUUCGGCAAUGGACGAAAGUCUGACNGAGCACGCCGCGUGAGUGAAGAAGGUUUUCGGAUCGUAAAACUCUGUUGGUAGAGAAGAACGUUGGUGAGAGUGGAAAGCUCAUCAAGUGACGGUAACUACCCAGAAAGGGACGGCUAACUACGUGCCAGCAGCCGCGGUAAUACGUAGGUCCCGAGCGUUGUCCGGAUUUAUUGGGCGUAAAGCGAGCGCAGGUGGUUUAUUAAGUCUGGUGUAAAAGGCAGUGGCUCAACCAUUGUAUGCAUUGGAAACUGGUAGACUUGAGUGCAGGAGAGGAGAGUGGAAUUCCAUGUGUAGCGGUGAAAUGCGUAGAUAUAUGGAGGAACACCGGUGGCGAAAGCGGCUCUCUGGCCUGUAACUGACACUGAGGCUCGAAAGCGUGGGGAGCAAACAGGAUUAGAUACCCUGGUAGUCCACGCCGUAAACGAUGAGUGCUAGAUGUAGGGAGCUAUAAGUUCUCUGUAUCGCAGCUAACGCAAUAAGCACUCCGCCUGGGGAGUACGACCGCAAGGUUG
rnacentral:rRNA from 1 species